UACAGAGGGUGCAAGCGUUAAUCGGAAUUAUUGGGCGUAAAGCGCAUGUAGGUGGUUUGUUAAGUUUGAUGUGAAAGCCCUGGGCUUAACCUGGGAAUGGCAUUGGAUACUGGCAGACUAGAGUCGGACAGAGGGCCGUGGAAUUUCCGGUGUAGCGGUGAAAUGCGUAGGAGAUCGGAAAGAACAUCGAUGGCGAAGGCAGCGGCCUGGGUCCAGACUGACACUGAGGUGGCGAAAGCGUGGGGAGCAACAGG
rnacentral:rRNA from 1 species